AGAAAAAAAGAAGGGGAUCUUAUUAGUCGCCUGUCUUUCAAAAACAUGUCCUGUUGUCUUAUUUAAUAGGUCUGGCCUGCCCAGUGAUAAUUUUAACGGCCGCGGUAUAUUGACCGUGCAAAGGUAGCAUAAUCAUUAGUCUUUUAAUAGAAGGCUGGAAUGAAAGGUUUAACGAGAAAUUAGCUGUCUCAAUUACAAACUUGAACUUGUCUUUUGAGUCAAAAGACUUAAAUAUAAUUGGUGGACGAGAAGACCCUAUAGAGCUUGACAAUUUUUUCCUUGUAUAUAUUUAGUGACAUUAUUUAUUUAGAUUUAAAAAAUUGUUUUGUUGGGGUGACAAUAAAUAUAUAUUUAACUUUUAUCAUGAUAUAUACAUUAAUUUAUGAUUUUUGGAUCCAAAAUUUUUGAUCAAUAGAAUAAGUUACCUUAGGGAUAACAGCGUAAUCUUCCCUCAGAGUUCAUAUUUACGGGAAGGGUUGCGACCUCGAUGUUGGAUUAAGAUAAUAAUUAGGUGCAGUAGCUUAAUUAAUAGGUCUGUUCGACCUUAAAUCUACAUAAUCAUACGGGCCC
rnacentral:rRNA from 1 species